GUGCCAGCCGCCGCGGUAAUACGUAGGUGGCAAGCGUUGUCCGGAUUUACUGGGCGUAAAGAGCGCGCAGGCGGUCGAUUAAGUCGAGUGUGAAAGCCCCCGGCUCAACUGGGGAGGGUCACUUGAUACUGGUCGACUCGAAGGCAGGAGAGGGAAGUGGAAUUCCCGGUGUAGUGGUGAAAUGCGUAGAUAUCGGGAGGAACACCAGUGGCGAAGGCGACUUCCUGGCCUGUUCUUGACGCUGAGGCGCGAAAGCUAGGGGAGCAAACGGGAUUAGAAACCCCCGUAGUCC
rnacentral:rRNA from 1 species